UUGAGUUGGAGUUGUGCUCUUUUGCACAGGCUGGCCGCUCUCUUGGUUCCCUGCAAUGUUUGCCUCCUGGGUUCAAGUGAUUCUUCUACCUCAACCUCCUGAGUAGCUGGGACUACAGAGAAAUGGCAUGAUCUUACCACUGAUCUAUGUAAACACGUUGAAGAAUUAUCUGAAAGAAAAUAUGAGUCUUGCUUUUUCACCCAGGCUGGAGUGCAGUGGUGCGAUCUCAGCUGACUGAAACCUCCACUUUUCAGGUUGAAUUGAUCCUCUUCCCUCAGCCUCCCUAGUAGCUAGGACUAUAGGUGAGUGCCACCAUGCCUGGCUAAUUUUUUUAUUUUUAGUAG